rnacentral:rRNA from 1 species
CACGUAGGCGGCUUGGUAAGUCAGAUGUGAAAGCCCGGGGCUUAACCCCGGAAGUGCAUUUGAUACUGUCAAGCUUGAGUAUGGGAGAGGGAAGUGGAAUUCCUGGUGUAGAGGUGAAAUUCGUAGAUAUCAGGAGGAACACCGGUGGCGAAGGCGACUUCCUGGACCAAUACUGACGCUGAGGUGCGAAGGCGUGGGUAGCAAACA